GGCCUACCAUGGUGGUAACGGGUAACGGGGUGUUAGGGCACGACACCGGAGAGGGAGCCUGAGAAACGGCUACCACAUCCAAGGAUGGCAGCAGGCGCGCAAAUUACCCAAUCCCGACACGGGGAGGUAGUGACAAUAAAUAACAAUACGGGGUUCUUUAGGAUCUCGUAAUUGGAAUGAGUACAAUUUAAAUCUCUUAACGAGGAACAAUUGGAGGACAAGUCUGGUGCCAGCAGCCGCGGUAAUUCCAGCUCCAAUAGCGUAUAUUAAAGUUGUUGCAGUUAAAAAGCUCGUAGUUGAAUUUCGGGGUUAGUAGGUUGGUCAUGCCUCUGGUAUGUACUGGUCUCACUGAUUCCUCCUUCCUGAUGAGCCGUAAUGCCAUUAAUUUGGUGUUGCGGGGAAUUUGGACUGUUACUUUGAAAAAAUUAGAGUGUUUAAAGCAAGCUAACGCUUGAAUACAUUAGCAUGGAAUAAUGAAAUAGGACGUUCGAUCCUAUUUUGUUGGUUUCUAGGAUUGACGUAAUGAUUAAUAGGGAUAGUUGGGGGCAUUAGUAUUCAAUUGUCAGAGGUGAAAUUCUUGGAUUUAUUGAAGACUAACUACUGCGAAAGCAUUUGCCAAGGAUGUUUUCAUUAAUCAAGAACGAAAGUUAGGGGAUCGAAGACGAUCAGAUACCGUCGUAGUCUUAACCAUAAACUAUGCCGACUAGGGAUCGGAUGAUGUUAAUUUUUUAAUGACUCAUUCGGCGCCUUACG
rnacentral:rRNA from 1 species